rnacentral:tRNA from 1 species
GAAACUAUAAGGAUGUUAUUGGCGCUGCCCUCCGAAGGCAGAGGUCGUGAGUUCGAAUCUCGCCGGGUGCACCA